rnacentral:rRNA from 1 species
GUCCACGCCCUAAACGAUGUUUACUUGCUGUUUGCCUUUCGGGGUGAGUGGCGAAGCGAAAGCGCUAAGUAAACCACCUGGGGAGUACGCCCGCAAGGGUGAAACUCAAAGGAAUUGACGGGGUCCGCACAAGCGGUGGAGCAUGUGGUUUAAUUCGAUGAUACGCGAGGAACCUUACCUAGGUUAGAAUGUGAGAGACCGGUGGUGAAAGCCACUUUUCCAGCAAUGGACUCAAAACAAGGUGCUGCAUGGCUGUCGU